rnacentral:lncRNA from 1 species
GAAAAGUCUCAUCCAAGUCAGAAAAAGCAGAUUUAUCCCCACACAUAUGAUUGCUGCAACCGGUAUCUAAGUACCAUAGAUUUUGGUGACUUUCCUCCUUUGUAUGACAUGCCAUAAGAAGGGAAAUUUCUUCUUCCUUCUUUUCUGCAAAGUUAGAUUUCUCGCCACGAUUCUUAUUUAAAUUAGUACGGCACUCGGAGCGGUAAUGACCGUACUUCUGACAACGGAAGCAUUUAACAUUCGAUUUGUC